rnacentral:rRNA from 1 species
GGUUAAGCGACUAAGCGUACACGGUGGAUGCCCUGGCAGUCAGAGGCGAUGAAGGACGUGCUAAUCUGCGAUAAGCGUCGGUGAGGUGAUAUGAACCGUUAUAACCGGCGAUUUCCGAAUGGGGAAACCCAGUGUGUUUCGACACACUAUCAUUAACUGAAUCCAUAGGUUAAUGAGGCGAACCGGGGGAACUGAAACAUCUAAGUACCCCGAGGAAAAGAAAUCAACCGAGAUUCCCCCAGUAGCGGCGAGCGAACGGGGAGGAGCCCAGAGCCUGAAUCAGUGUGUGUGUUAGUGGAAGCGUCUGGAAAGGCGCGCGAUACAGGGUGACAGCCCCGUACACAAAAAUGCACAUGCUGUGAGCUCGAUGAGUAGGGCGGGACACGUGGUAUCCUGUCUGAAUAUGGGGGGACCAUCCUCCAAGGCUAAAUACUCCUGACUGACCGAUAGUGAACCAGUACCGUGAGGGAAAGGCGAAAAGAACCCCGGCGAGGGGAGUGAAAAAGAACCUGAAACCGUGUACGUACAAGCAGUGGGAGCCUCUUAAUGGGGUGACUGCGUACCUUUUGUAUAAUGGGUCAGCGACUUAUAUUCUGUAGCAAGGUUAACCGAAUAGGGGAGCCGAAGGGAAACCGAGUCUUAACUGGGCGUUAAGUUGCAGGGUAUAGACCCGAAACCCGGUGAUCUAGCCAUGGGCAGGUUGAAGGUUGGGUAACACUAACUGGAGGACCGAACCGACUAAUGUUGAAAAAUUAGCGGAUGACUUGUGGCUGGGGGUGAAAGGCCAAUCAAACCGGGAGAUAGCUGGUUCUCCCCGAAAGCUAUUUAGGUAGCGCCUCGUGAAUUCAUCUCCGGGGGUAGAGCACUGUUUCGGCAAGGGGGUCAUCCCGACUUACCAACCCGAUGCAAACUGCGAAUACCGGAGAAUGUUAUCACGGGAGACACACGGCGGGUGCUAACGUCCGUCGUGAAGAGGGAAACAACCCAGACCGCCAGCUAAGGUCCCAAAGUCAUGGUUAAGUGGGAAACGAUGUGGGAAGGCCCAGACAGCCAGGAUGUUGGCUUAGAAGCAGCCAUCAUUUAAAGAAAGCGUAAUAGCUCACUGGUCGAGUCGGCCUGCGCGGAAGAUGUAACGGGGCUAAACCAUGCACCGAAGCUGCGGCAGCGACGCUUAUGCGUUGUUGGGUAGGGGAGCGUUCUGUAAGCCUGUGAAGGUGGCCUGUGAGGGUUGCUGGAGGUAUCAGAAGUGCGAAUGCUGACAUAAGUAACGAUAAAGCGGGUGAAAAGCCCGCUCGCCGGAAGACCAAGGGUUCCUGUCCAACGUUAAUCGGGGCAGGGUGAGUCGACCCCUAAGGCGAGGCCGAAAGGCGUAGUCGAUGGGAAACAGGUUAAUAUUCCUGUACUUGGUGUUACUGCGAAGGGGGGACGGAGAAGGCUAUGUUGGCCGGGCGACGGUUGUCCCGGUUUAAGCGUGUAGGCUGGUUUUCCAGGCAAAUCCGGAAAACCAAGGCUGAGGCGUGAUGACGAGGCACUACGGUGCUGAAGCGACAAAUGCCCUGCUUCCAGGAAAAGCCUCUAAGCAUCAGGUAACAUCAAAUCGUACCCCAAACCGACACAGGUGGUCAGGUAGAGAAUACCAAGGCGCUUGAGAGAACUCGGGUGAAGGAACUAGGCAAAAUGGUGCCGUAACUUCGGGAGAAGGCACGCUGAUAUGUAGGUGAAGCGACUUGCUCGUGGAGCUGAAAUCAGUCGAAGAUACCAGCUGGCUGCAACUGUUUAUUAAAAACACAGCACUGUGCAAACACGAAAGUGGACGUAUACGGUGUGACGCCUGCCCGGUGCCGGAAGGUUAAUUGAUGGGGUUAGCGGCAACGCGAAGCUCUUGAUCGAAGCCCCGGUAAACGGCGGCCGUAACUAUAACGGUCCUAAGGUAGCGAAAUUCCUUGUCGGGUAAGUUCCGACCUGCACGAAUGGCGUAAUGAUGGCCAGGCUGUCUCCACCCGAGACUCAGUGAAAUUGAACUCGCUGUGAAGAUGCAGUGUACCCGCGGCAAGACGGAAAGACCCCGUGAACCUUUACUAUAGCUUGACACUGAACAUUGAGCCUUGAUGUGUAGGAUAGGUGGGAGGCUUUGAAGUGUGGACGCCAGUCUGCAUGGAGCCGACCUUGAAAUACCACCCUUUAAUGUUUGAUGUUCUAACGUUGGCCCGUAAUCCGGGUUGCGGACAGUGUCUGGUGGGUAGUUUGACUGGGGCGGUCUCCUCCUAAAGAGUAACGGAGGAGCACGAAGGUUGGCUAAUCCUGGUCGGACAUCAGGAGGUUAGUGCAAUGGCAUAAGCCAGCUUGACUGCGAGCGUGACGGCGCGAGCAGGUGCGAAAGCAGGUCAUAGUGAUCCGGUGGUUCUGAAUGGAAGGGCCAUCGCUCAACGGAUAAAAGGUACUCCGGGGAUAACAGGCUGAUACCGCCCAAGAGUUCAUAUCGACGGCGGUGUUUGGCACCUCGAUGUCGGCUCAUCACAUCCUGGGGCUGAAGUAGGUCCCAAGGGUAUGGCUGUUCGCCAUUUAAAGUGGUACGCGAGCUGGGUUUAGAACGUCGUGAGACAGUUCGGUCCCUAUCUGCCGUGGGCGCUGGAGAACUGAGGGGGGCUGCUCCUAGUACGAGAGGACCGGAGUGGACGCAUCACUGGUGUUCGGGUUGUCAUGCCAAUGGCACUGCCCGGUAGCUAAAUGCGGAAGAGAUAAGUGCUGAAAGCAUCUAAGCACGAAACUUGCCCCGAGAUGAGUUCUCCCUGAGACUUAGAGUCUCCUGAAGGAACGUUGAAGACGACGACGUUGAUAGGCCGGGUGUGUAAGCGCAGCGAUGCGUUGAGCUAACCGGUACUAAUGAACCGUGAGGCUUAACCUU